UACGUAGGGGGCAAGCGUUGUCCGGAAUCAUUGGGCGUAAAGCGCGUGUAGGCGGCUUGGUAAGUCCGCUCUGAAAGCCCGGGGCUCAACCCCGGGAGGCGGGUGGAUACUGUCAAGCUCGAGUCCGGAAGAGGCGAGUGGAAUUCCUGGUGUAGCGGUGAAAUGCGCAGAUAUCAGGAGGAGCACCAAUGGCGAAGGCAGCUCGCUGGGACGUGACUGACGCUGAGACGCGAAAGCGUGGGGAGCAAACAGG
rnacentral:rRNA from 1 species